CUCCUUUUGUAGUUCAUGAGCGUGAUGAUUGUGUUCACAUGCAUGUGUGAAACGUACCAACACAAACCUUGUUACAACAUUGGUACAUUACCCGUCUGGCA